rnacentral:rRNA from 1 species
CCCUUAGAUGUUCUGGGCCGCUCGCGCGCUACACUGACGAAUGCAACGAGCUUAUAACCUUGGCCGAAAGGUCUGGGUAAUCUCCAAAUUUCGUCGUGAUGGGGAUAGAUUAUUGCAAUUAUUAAUCUUCAACGAGGAAUGCCUAGUAAGCGCAAGUCAUCAGCUUGCGUUGAUUACGUCCCUGCCCUUUGUACACACCGCCCGUCGCUCCUACCGAUUGAAUGGUCCGGUGAAGCGUUCGGACCGUGGCCUUUGGACGGUUCGCCGUCUGUUGGCUGCGGGAAGUUCGUUAAACCUUAUCAUUUAGAGGAAGGAGAAGUCGUAACA